UACGGAGGGGGCUAGCGUUGUUCGGAAUUACUGGGCGUAAAGGGCGCGUAGGCGGCGCGAUAAGUUGGGCGUGAAAGGCCCGGGCUCAACCCGGGGACUGCGCUUGAUACUGUCGCGCUGUGAGUCCGGGAGAGGAUGGCGGAAUUCCCAGUGUAGAGGUGAAAUUCGUAGAUAUGGGGAGGAACACCGGUGGCGAAGGCGGCCAUCUGGACGGAUACUGACGCUGAGACGCGAAAGCGUGGGGAGCAAACAGG
rnacentral:rRNA from 1 species